UUGAACGCUGGCGGCAGGCCUAACACCUGCAAGUCGAGCGGAUGAAGGGAGCUUGCUCCUGGAUUCAGCGGCGGACGGGUGGGUAAUGCCUCGGAAUCUGCCUGGUAGUGGGGGAUAACGUCCGGAAACGGGCGCUAAUACCGCAUACGUCCUGAGGGAGAAAGUGGGGGAUCUUCGGACCUCACGCUAUCAGAUGAGCCUAGGUCGGAUUAGCUAGUUGGUGGGGUAAAGGCCUACCAAGGCGACGAUCCGUAACUGGUCUGAGAGGAUGAUCAGUCACACUGGAACUGAGACACGGUCCAGACUCCUACGGGAGGCAGCAGUGGGGAAUAUUGGACAAUGGGCGAAAGCCUGAUGCAGCCAUGCCGCGUGGGUGAAGAAGGUCUUCGGAUUGUAAAGCACUUUAAGUUGGGAGGAAGAGCAGUAAGUUAAUACCUUGCUGUUUUGACGUUACCAACAGAAUAAGCACCGGCUAACUUCGUG
rnacentral:rRNA from 1 species